rnacentral:rRNA from 1 species
GACGAACGUUGGCGGCGUGCUUAACACAUGCAAGUCGAACGGAAAGGCCCUGCUUUUGUGGGGUGCUCGAGUGGCGAACGGGUGAGUAACACGUGAGUAACCUGCCCUUGACUUUGGGAUAACUUCAGGAAACUGGGGCUAAUACCGGAUAGGAGCUCCUGCUGCAUGGUGGGGGUUGGAAAGUUUCGGCGGUUGGGGAUGGACUCGCGGCUUAUCAGCUUGUUGGUGGGGUAGUGGCUUACCAAGGCUUUGACGGGUAGCCGGCCUGAGAGGGUGACCGGCCACAUUGGGACUGAGAUACGGCCCAGACUCCUACGGGAGGCAGCAGUGGGGAAUAUUGCACAAUGGGCGGAAGCCUGAUGCAGCAACGCCGCGUGCGGGAUGACGGCCUUCGGGUUGUAAACCGCUUUCGCCUGUGACGAAGCGUGAGUGACGGUAAUGGGUAAAGAAGCACCGGCUAAAUACGUGC